rnacentral:rRNA from 1 species
CCUACGGGAGGCAGCAGUAGGGAAUUUUCGGCAAUGGGGGGAACCCUGACCGAGCAACGCCGCGUGAACGAAGAAGUUAUUCGUAAUGUAAAGUUCUUUUAACAGGGAAGAAAGAGAAAUUUGACGGUACCUUAAGAAUAAGCUCCGGCUAACUACGUGCCAGCAGCCGCGGUAAUACGUAGGGAGCGAGCGUUAGCCGGAAUUAUUGGGCGUAAAGGGUGCGUAGAUGGCAUAGUAAGUCUUUAGUAAAAAUGCGGGGCUCAACCCAGUAGGGCAAAAGAUAGUGCAAAGCUAGAGUAUGACAGAGGCAAGUGGAACUACAUGUGAAGCGGUAAAAUGCGUAAAUAUAUGUAAGAACACCAGUGGCGAAGGCAGCUUGCUGGGUCGAUACUGACAUUGAGGCACGAAAGCGUGGGGAGCAAACAGGAUUAGAUACCCGAGUAGUC